rnacentral:rRNA from 1 species
GCGGGACACGUGGUAUCCUGUCUGAAUAUGGGGGGACCAUCCUCCAAGGCUAAAUACUCCUGACUGACCGAUAGUGAACCAGUACCGUGAGGGAAAGGCGAAAAGAACCCCGGCGAGGGGAGUGAAAAAGAACCUGAAACCGUGUACGUACAAGCAGUGGGAGCCUCUUAAUGGGGUGACUGCGUACCUUUUGUAUAAUGGGUCAGCGACUUAUAUUCUGUAGCAAGGUUAACCGAAUAGGGGAGCCGAAGGGAAACCGAGUCUUAACUGGGCGCUAAGUUGCAGGGUAUAGACCCGAAACCCGGUGAUCUAGCCAUGGGCAGGUUGAAGGUUGGGUAACACUAACUGGAGGACCGAACCGACUAAUGUUGAAAAAUUAGCGGAUGACUUGUGGCUGGGGGUGAAAGGCCAAUCAAACCGGGAGAUAGCUGGUUCUCCCCGAAAGCUAUUUAGGUAGCGCCUCGUGAAUUCAUCUCCGGGGGUAGAGCACUGUUUCGGCAAGGGGGUCAUCCCGACUUACCAACCCGAUGCAAACUGCGAAUACCGGAGAAUGUUAUCACGGGAGACACACGGCGGGUGCUAACGUCCGUCGUGAAGAGGGAAACAACCCAGACCGCCAGCUAAGGUCCCAAAGUCAUGGUUAAGUGGGAAACGAUGUGGGAAGGCCCAGACAGCCAGGAUGUUGGCUUAGAAGCAGCCAUCAUUUAAAGAAAGCGUAAUAGCUCACUGGUCGAGUCGGCCUGCGCGGAAGAUGUAACGGGGCUAAACCAUGCACCGAAGCUGCGGCAGCGACACUAUGUGUUGUUGGGUAGGGGAGCGUUCUGUAAGCCUGUGAAGGUGGCCUGUGAGGGUUGCUGGAGGUAUCAGAAGUGCGAAUGCUGACAUAAGUAACGAUAAAGCGGGUGAAAAGCCCGCUCGCCGGAAGACCAAGGGUUCCUGUCCAACGUUAAUCGGGGCAGGGUGAGUCGACCCCUAAGGCGAGGCCGAAAGGCGUAGUCGAUGGGAAACAGGUUAAUAUUCCUGUACUUGGUGUUACUGCGAAGGGGGGACGGAGAAGGCUAUGUUGGCCGGGCGACGGUUGUCCCGGUUUAAGCGUGUAGGCUGGUUUUCCAGGCAAAUCCGGAAAACCAAGGCUGAGGCGUGAUGACGAGGCACUACGGUGCUGAAGCGACAAAUGCCCUGCUUCCAGGAAAAGCCUCUAAGCAUCAGGUAACAUCAAAUCGUACCCCAAACCGACACAGGUGGUCAGGUAGAGAAUACCAAGGCGCUUGAGAGAACUCGGGUGAAGGAACUAGGCAAAAUGGUGCCGUAACUUCGGGAGAAGGCACGCUGAUAUGUAGGUGAAGCGACUUGCUCGUGGAGCUGAAAUCAGUCGAAGAUACCAGCUGGCUGCAACUGUUUAUUAAAAACACAGCACUGUGCAAACACGAAAGUGGACGUAUACGGUGUGACGCCUGCCCGGUGCCGGAAGGUUAAUUGAUGGGGUUAGCGGUAACGCGAAGCUCUUGAUCGAAGCCCCGGUAAACGGCGGCCGUAACUAUAACGGUCCUAAGGUAGCGAAAUUCCUUGUCGGGUAAGUUCCGACCUGCACGAAUGGCGUAAUGAUGGCCAGGCUGUCUCCACCCGAGACUCAGUGAAAUUGAACUCGCUGUGAAGAUGCAGUGUACCCGCGGCAAGACGGAAAGACCCCGUGAACCUUUACUAUAGCUUGACACUGAACAUUGAGCCUUGAUGUGUAGGAUAGGUGGGAGGCUUUGAAGUGUGGACGCCAGUCUGCAUGGAGCCGACCUUGAAAUACCACCCUUUAAUGUUUGAUGUUCUAACGUUGGCCCCUAAUCGGGGUUGCGGACAGUGUCUGGUGGGUAGUUUGACUGGGGCGGUCUCCUCCUAAAGAGUAACGGAGGAGCACGAAGGUUGGCUAAUCCUGGUCGGACAUCAGGAGGUUAGUGCAAUGGCAUAAGCCAGCUUGACUGCGAGCGUGACGGCGCGAGCAGGUGCGAAAGCAGGUCAUAGUGAUCCGGUGGUUCUGAAUGGAAGGGCCAUCGCUCAACGGAUAAAAGGUACUCCGGGGAUAACAGGCUGAUACCGCCCAAGAGUUCAUAUCGACGGCGGUGUUUGGCACCUCGAUGUCGGCUCAUCACAUCCUGGGGCUGAAGUAGGUCCCAAGGGUAUGGCUGUUCGCCAUUUAAAGUGGUACGCGAGCUGGGUUUAGAACGUCGUGAGACAGUUCGGUCCCUAUCUGCCGUGGGCGCUGGAGAACUGAGGGGGGCUGCUCCUAGUACGAGAGGACCGGAGUGGACGCAUCACUGGUGUUCGGGUUGUCAUGCCAAUGGCACUGCCCGGUAGCUAAAUGCGGAAGAGAUAAGUGCUGAAAGCAUCUAAGCACGAAACUUGCCCCGAGAUGAGUUCUCCCUGAGACUUAGAGUCUCCUGAAGGAACGUUGAAGACGACGACGUUGAUAGGCCGGGUGUGUAAGCGCAGCGAUGCGUUGAGCUAACCGGUACUAAUGAACCGUGAGGCUUAACCUUACAACGCCGAAG